rnacentral:rRNA from 1 species
UAGGGAAUCUUCGGCAAUGGGGGCAACCCUGACCGAGCAACGCCGCGUGAGUGAAGAAGGUUUUCGGAUCGUAAAGCUCUGUUGUAAGUCAAGAACGAGUGUGAGAGUGGAAAGUUCACACUGUGACGGUAGCUUACCAGAAAGGGACGGCUAACUACGUGCCAGCAGCCGCGGUAAUACGUAGGUCCCGAGCGUUGUCCGGAUUUAUUGGGCGUAAAGCGAGCGCAGGCGGUUUGAUAAGUCUGAAGUUAAAGGCUGUGGCUCAACCAUAGUUCGCUUUGGAAACUGUCAAACUUAAGUGCAGAAGGGGAGAGUGGAAUUCCAUGUGUAGCGGUGAAAUGCGUAGAUAUAUGGAGGAACACCGGUGGCGAAAGCGGCUCUCUGGUCUGUAACUGACGCUGAGGCUCGAAAGCGUGGGGAGCGAACAGGAUUAGAUACCCUGGUAGUCCACGCCGUANCGAUGAGUGCUAGGUGUUGGAUCCUUUCCGGGAUUCANUGNCGCAGCUAANGCANUAAGCACUCCGCCUGGGGAGUACNACCGCAAGGNU